GACGAACGCUGGCGGCGUGCUUAACACAUGCAAGUCGAACGGAAAGGCCCUGCUUUUGUGGGGUGCUCGAGUGGCGAACGGGUGAGUAACACGUGAGUAACCUGCCCUUGACUUUGGGAUAACUUCAGGAAACUGGGGCUAAUACCGGAUAGGAGCUCCUGCUGCAUGGUGGGGGGUGGAAAGUUUCGGCGGUUGGGGAUGGACUCGCGGCUUAUCAGCUUGUUGGUGGGGUAGUGGCUUACCAAGGCUUUGACGGGUAGCCGGCCUGAGAGGGUGACCGGCCACAUUGGGACUGCGGUACGGCCCAGACUCCUACGGGAGGCAGCGGUGGGGAAUAUUGCACAAUGGGCGGAAGCCUGAUGCAGCAACGCCGCGUUCGGGAUGACGGCCUUCGGGUUGUAAACCGCUUUCGCCUGUGACGAAGCGUGAGUGACGGUAAUGGGUAAAGAAGCACCGGCUAACUACGUG
rnacentral:rRNA from 1 species